AUUGAACGCUGGCGGCAUGCCUUACACAUGCAAGUCGAACGGUAACAGGUCUUCGGAUGCUGACGAGUGGCGAACGGGUGAGUAAUACAUCGGAACGUGCCCAGACGUGGGGGAUAACGAGGCGAAAGCUUUGCUAAUACCGCAUACGAUCUAAGGAUGAAAGCAGGGGACCGCAAGGCCUUGCGCGUUUGGAGCGGCCGAUGGCAGAUUAGGUAGUUGGUGGGAUAAAAGCUUACCAAGCCGACGAUCUGUAGCUGGUCUGAGAGGACGACCAGCCACACUGGAACUGAGACACGGCCCAGACUCCUACGGGAGGCAGCAGUGGGGAAUUUUGGACAGUGGGCGAAAGCCUGAUCCAGCAAUGCCGCGUGCAGGAUGAAGGCCUUCGGGUUGUAAACUGCUUUUGUACGGAACGAAAAGGCUCUGGCUAAUACCUGGGGCACAUGACGGUACCGUAAGAAUAAGCACCGGCUAACUACGUG
rnacentral:rRNA from 1 species